CCUUUGUCCCCACUCUGGCUCAGCCGCUCUGAGUGGCCCUGGUGUGCUGCUUAUGGCUGCCUUUGAGUGAAUCUUCUUCAAAGAACUCCCACUGUUCUUUCUUUUGGAUUUGUUUUCAUCUGCCCUCCACUGGCAAUCUCACAGACAUCCAUGUGUUGGAAGGCACCCUUGAGGAUCAUUGAGCCUAAGUUUUGACUCCUCACUGGUUGAGCUACACGUAAAUCUCUGAGUCAGCGAGGUUGAACAGGUCCCUGAAGAUCAAACUGUCCAACUGCAACCUUAACACUGCCUAGUGCACCAAUCAGCCAGGUCCCCAGAUGCCACAUCCACAUGACUUUUAAACCUUUCUGAGGGUGCUGACUCAACCAUUUCUCUAGGCAGCAGCCUGUUCCCAAGCUAGAUAUCCUUUCUGUUGAAGGAAUAUUUCCUAGAGAUACAAUCUAAACCUCCUGUGGUGCAAUGUGAGGUCGUUCUCCGCUGGUCAUAUUGUUAGUUCUCUGGGCUAACCCUCACAUGACCCCCACUUAGCUACAACCUCCCUUCAGGAACCGUGUGCUUCGUGUCAGGUGCUUGGCCUGAGGUGAAGGCAGCUCCUCCAAGAGGAGAGAAAGGUGGUGCUUUUGCACUGCACUUCCCAAGAUCCAGCGGGACAAAAGAGGGUGUCAGUGGGGAGAAGAGUUUCAGGUUGCCCGGAAGCGUUUCCACGUGACGAGAACCUUAGUCCCAAAUACAUCAGCCGAGGAAAUCCGUCCCCUUCCAAGCAGAAGGAAAAAUGAGAAUUUUCCUUGUAGAAAAUGGGAAGGUUUGGAGUGAAAGUCCGUGCUGGAAUGUCCCCGGAUGUCCGUGUGGAUUUUGCUAACCUGCAAGGCCAGACUAUGAGGAGGGGAUCCCAAGAAAUGCCCUCUUGCUCAGGGGCCUUCCAUGGCACGGCAGCACAAAACAUGGAUCCCUGGGUUUUCUGGUUCUUGCUCUGGCAAAGCAUAGUCCAUUACCCGCAGCCCGUGGGUGAUGACUGGGAUGAGGAAACAUGUCUGCAGAUGGAACUGCGUGCAAAGCAGCUGGAAUGGGAGAGGCUUCUGCUGGAGCAGGAGGUGGAGCAGCUCAUCCUGGAGCAGAGUGCAGAGGAACAGUACUUGCAGCUCGUUUUUUUAGAUGUCAUGAUGGUAGAAUUUGAUUAGGUACCUAGUCAUGGAAUCCAUAAUGUCAUUGGUAUUUAUCAUCCAACCACACAGCUGGGCAUUCACUGUAUGAUACAAAUGGCUCUGGCUGUGAGCUUUGUCUGGGGAAGGAUCCUGAAUAGAUAUUUCCACUGUAAAUGUAAGAGAAAGAGGGGGGGAAAAAACCCAGUAGAUUGCAAUGCCUCUGUAGGUACUGUCAGUUUCAUUCUGAAAAAAAAAAAUCAGAGACAGAUUUAAGGGGAAGCCAUGAAGUUUAUCAGAUUCUGCCUAGGUUUAUUGCUGAAGCUGCAUAAAAAUAUUUAAAAGUAUUGUAAGAGGCCUAGAGUAACGUACCUCUAAUGCAGCUGUUCAAAUCUCAGUUUAUGAAGAAUUAACACCUGUCAAAACUUGGGUGGGGGGGAUUAAUAGCAGAUAGAAACAUAAGAUUUUUUCUUGACCUAGCUCUGACUGAAACCUUUAAUUCCCAUCCCAUUAAACAGUAGAACAACAGGAGCAUAGAGAACAGUGAGUUAUCUGGACUUGAUCCUGUAGUUAAUAUGACAUGAGGAAGAUGUUCAAAUUAGUGCCUCAGCUUUCUGUAUUCAGCCUGAGACAAAAACGAUCAUAUAAGAUAGUAUUUGCUGAAGAUCCUGACUGGCUGACAGUCACAGUGAAUUAUUUGAUGAACUGGCUUCCUUCCUCAUAGCAAGCAACUUUGAAGCCUUUAAAACUCAAGUAUGCUCUGAACAAUGAAAGAACACUGACACACAUUGCUGUAACAGUUAAAAUUACUAUUAUUUUGUGUGCCAUCCCUACAAGUUACCAUUUCCUUAGAAAAAUACAGUGAGAACAUUGGCUUUGCCAGUGCCUAACUAAGUGUCUUAGAUCAACCUUAACACCAAUGGCAAUGGAUCAAGCUGGCCCAGAAAUUAAGCAAUUGAAAUCUGGGUCACUAGUUGACCACUGUGUCAGCAAAAUACCAUGAGUGGCCUGCUAGGAAAAAUACUUCCAUAAACUCAUUCAAACAAAUUAUCCAGACCUCAUGUCAUUGCCUGGUUUUAAUACUUAUAAUAGUGUAAUUUUAUAUUUUAUAAUCUCUUCCAGGGUUUCCUAAUGCUAAAUGUUGGAUUAUCACAUUCAUGUUUCAUCCUGUACAAAGCAGGAAUUGUUCCCAGACUCCAUCAAACAAAAAAGCAUCUGGGACAACUCCAUGAUGAAUAAAAACAUGGGUUUUCUUUUCA
rnacentral:lncRNA from 1 species